rfam:Ovis aries breed Texel chromosome 3, whole genome shotgun sequence.
UCCCUGGUGGCUUAGCUGGUGAAGGAUCCGCCUGCAACGCGGGAGAUCUGGGUUCGAUCCCUGGGUUGGGAA